GGUCUCCGUGGUGAACCAGCGGAGGGAUCCAUUA
rnacentral:rRNA from 1 species